UACGUAGGGUGCGAGCGUUGUCCGGAAUUAUUGGGCGUAAAGAGCUCGUAGGCGGCCUGUCACGUCGGAUGUGAAAGCCCGGGGCUUAACCCCGGGUCUGCAUUCGAUACGGGCAGGCUAGAGUGUGGUAGGGGAGAUCGGAAUUCCUGGUGUAGCGGUGAAAUGCGCAGAUAUCAGGAGGAACACCGGUGGCGAAGGCGGAUCUCUGGGCCAUUACUGACGCUGAGGAGCGAAAGCGUGGGGAGCGAACAGG
rnacentral:rRNA from 1 species